rnacentral:rRNA from 1 species
GGGGGGACGGAGAAGGCUAUGUCGGCCGGGCGACGGUUGUCCCGGUUUAAGCGUGUAGGCUGACUUUCCAGGCAAAUCCGGAAAGUUAAGGCUGAGGCGUGAUGACGAGGCACCACGGUGCUGAAGUGACAAAUGCCCUGCUUCCAGGAAAAGCCUCUAAGCAUCAGGUAACAUCAAAUCGUACCCCAAACCGACACAGGUGGUCAGGUAGAGAAUACCAAGGCGCUUGAGAGAACUCGGG